CCCCGGCCGAGGAUGGGUAAGAAGAUUGAAGAGCGCUGAGUGCUAUUGGUGAAGAAACUUUGAUGGCGGAAUCAAGGUUAAGCUUGACCAGAGCUUGGUGGAUAUUUUUCAUGGCAGGGGUGAGGGACUUGGGUGUGGAUCCACAAAAACUUCGUUACCCACAGCAAUGGCUUCGAUUUGGGUGGAUGGGUGGUAAGCGGCGACGUUUCUCUGGACCCAUGAGAAGGCGAAUGACUGGCGUUUGGCCGCGGAGUAGAGGAGUUCGUUUGGGAGGUCGACAGUGACCUUAAUACCAGAUUCUGAU
rnacentral:misc_RNA from 1 species